rnacentral:rRNA from 1 species
UUCCGGUUGAUCCUGCCGGACCUGACUGCUUUCGGAUUGAUACUAAGCCAUGUGAGUCGUUGUAGCAAUACAAGGCGUACGGCUCAGUAACACGUAGUCAAUCUAACCUAUGGACGGGGAUAACCUCGGGAAACUGAGGAUAGAACCCGAUAGAUCAUAAUUCCUGGAACGGUUUAUGGUCCAAACGAUUCGUUGCCGUAGGAUGGGACUGCGGCCUAUCAGCUUGUUGGUGAGGUAAUGGCCCACCAAGGCUAUUACAGGUACGGGCUCUGAGAGGAGAAGCCCGGAGAUGGGUACUGAGACACGGACCCAGGCCCUAUGGGGCGCAGCAGGCGAGAAAACUUUGCAAUGUGCGCAAGCACGACAAGGUUAAUCCGAGUGUUUCCUGCUUAAGGAAUCUUUUGUUAGUUGUAAAACCACUAUCGAAUAAGGGGUGGGCAAGUUCUGGUGUCAGCCGCCGCGGUAAAACCAGCACCUCAAGUGGUCAGGAGGAUUAUUGGGCCUAAAGCAUCCGUAGCCUGUUCUAUAAGUUUCCGGUUAAAUCCAUUAGCUCAACUAAUGGGCUGCCGAAAAUACUGUAGAACUAGGGAGUGGGAGAGGUAGACGGUAUUCGGUAGGAAGGGGUAAAAUCCUUUGAUCUAUUGAUGACCACCUGUGGCGAAGGCGGUCUACCAGAACACGUUCGACGGUGAGGGAUGAAAGCUGGGGGAGCAAACCGGAUUAGAUACCCGGGUAGUCCCAGCUGUAAACGAUGCAGACUCGGUGAUGCGCUGGCUUGUGGCCAGUGCAGUGCCGCAGGAAAGCCGUUAAGUUUGCCGCCUGGGAAGUACGUACGCAAGUAUGAAACUUAAAGGAAUUGGCGGGGGAGCACCACAAGGGGUGAAGCCUGCGGUUCAAUUGGAUUCAACGCCGGA